rnacentral:rRNA from 1 species
UGGCGGCAAGCCUUACACAUGCAAGUCGAGCGGUAACAUUUCUAGCUUGCUAGAAGAUGACGAGCGGCGGACGGGUGAGUAAAGCAUAGGAAUCUGGCCAAUAGAGGGGGAUAGCCCGGAGAAAUCCGGAUUAAUACCGCAUACACUCUAUGGAGAAAAAGCAGGGGGAUCUUCGGACCUUGCGCUAUUGGAUGAGCCUAUGUCGGAUUAGUUAGUUGGUGGGGUAAAGGCCUACCAAGGCAGCGAUCCGUAGCUGGUCUUAGAGGAUGAUCAGCCACAUCGGGACUGAGACACGGCCCGAACUCCUACGGGAGGCAGCAGUGGGGAAUAUUGCACAAUGGGCGCAAGCCUGAUGCAGCUAUGCCGCGUGUGUGAAGAAGGCCUUAGGGUUGUAAAGCACUUUCAGUAGUGAGGAAAAGUGUUGUGUUAAUAGCGCAAUGCCGUGACGUUAGCUACAGAAGAAGGACCGGCAAACUCCGUG